AUAGAUUUCAUUUCAUUUGAAGCUUCACAUUUACUGCAGUCUAAAUGAUUUUUGUAUUAAGUCAGCCCAAUUCAUAGUUAAAAUUCUGAUUAAAGUCAAUAAUAAAAUACAGUGUAAAUGAAGCACAUCAAAUAAUGAUGCUCAACACACCCUUAAAUAUUUGCAUUUUCAAACUUUUGGCCAUGCAAGGAAAAUAAUUUUAAAAUUCAUUGCAGAAUCCGGAGGUAUACAUAUAUUUAACAUGCAUAACAGUAAAUAUUUGAAAGCUUUUUUAUGAACAGUAUGAUCUAGGCUUGUUGGUAUUUGAAUUAAUUAUGUUUGAAGUAACAGGAAAUGUAAAGGAGAGUCUUUAAUAGGAUAAGAUCAUAAAGCAGCUUUCUGGUUAAGAGCAAAGCGUGUUUUGUACUUGGUAUAUUUAGCCAGAGAACAGUAGAGAGCAUCGCUUCUUUUCUGUUUAAAGUUAUGGAAAGGACCAUUUAAAUGGAACUAAUCUCAGCACAGUAAAGUGUUUAUGCAAUCAGUGUUAUGGUUGAUACUGUUGCCUUCAUUUUUCCUUCCUUUUCUUUCUGUUUCUACUGCUGCUUUAUUGGAUAGUUGACUUCUUGCUUGCUUCUGUGGAUUUCCUUCACGCUUAAACAUAGGAUCUGUUGCCAACUCUUUAAACCAGGUCUGCUGAUCUUAUGGAUGACUAGGUGAUGGUAAAUAACUACAUAAUUAUGGGCUCUUUUUCAUACAUGGCUGUAAUUUGUAUUCCUGUUUGCAUAUACCAAUGAUGAUAAAAAAAAAUAACAGGGUUUUCUUUAAAACACAAUGACCCUUUUCCUUAAUUAUAUGAAGUAGGUGUCAUGAAGGUGGUGGCAUUUAUGGAAUGUAUAAUGAAUUCUUUAAGGAACUGUUGCCUACUACUUAUUUAGCUUUUCUUGAUAUUGACACAUAGUUAAUAAAAACCAAAAGCUGAUCUGUUUCCAUACCUAAUGACAAAGGUUAAAUACAUUGUCUUGUAAAAAUGUUUUUUUCACAUGUGCAAUUCUAUAAUGUUACUAAAAAAAAACAUACACUGAAAAUUUGCUGUUUUGAUAAUGUGAUUUCAAACUUCCGGACCCCUAAAAUGUGACCCUCUUCAUGUUAGGAAGGCAUCUUAGUAACAGGGAGUAGGGGAGAAAUUGCUUACACAAGUAUUCCAGUCAUGUUGAGGUGAAACUAUUUAAUGAAAAAAAAGGGCACAUAAUGAAGCCAUCCAAUUUGCCCUUAUCAGUAAAUCAUUAAAAUAACUGGUACAGUUUCUGGAUAAACACCCUAAUGUAAGGGAUCAGUAUUCAAAUUGGAUUUGAAGGACAACUGUGAAAAUGAAGACCAAAAAGCCUUCACAAAUAAUAUAACACAAAACACAUAAUUUAAGAAACUAGUACAAAACAAUUUUCAUGUGUUUGGCUCUCGCAGUUAUCAGCAAGUGGAACCCUACAUCAAACCACCUAAAUGCUACCUAGAAAAGGUUGUCCCACAAAAUUCUGUCAAUGAAGAAACUUUUGAGAGGGGCCUAAAAUGGACUAGCUGAUGCUGCAGAGUCCAUCACAUCAAGAGCUCUGCUAAGCAUAACCUCCCUUCAGUUUUACUUCACACAUCUGGCUAUGUAACCUAACAUCCAAUUAGUUUUAUAUAUGUAUAUGUGGGGGAAGUAAGUAUUUGAUCCCCUGUUGUAUUUGUAAGUUUGCUCAC